rnacentral:rRNA from 1 species
CUCGCCUACAUGAAGCUGGAGUUACUAGUAAUCGCAGAUCAGAAUGCUGCGGUGAAUGCGUUCCCGGGUCUUGUACACACCGCCCGUCACACCACGGGAGUUGGAGACGCCCGAAGCCGAUUAUCUAACCUUUUGGAAGAAGUCGUCGAAGGUGGAAUCAAUAACUGGGGUGAAGUCGUAACAAGGUAGCCGUAUCGGAAGGUGCGGCUGGAUC